rnacentral:rRNA from 1 species
GACGAACGCUGGCGGCGUGCUUAACACAUGCAAGUCGAACGGAAAGGCCCUGCUUUUGUGGGGUGCUCGAGUGGCGAACGGGUGAGUAACACGUGAGUAACCUGCCCUUGCCUUUGGGGUAACCUCAGGAAACUGGGGCUAAUUCCUGAUACGUGCUCCUGCUGCAUGGCGGGGGUUGGAGAGGUACGGCGGUUGGGGCUGGACUCGCGGCUUAUCAGCUUGUUGGUGGGGUAGUGGCUUACCAAGGCUUGGACGGGUAGCCGGCCUGAGAGGGUGACCGGCCACAGUGGGACAGGGGAACGGCCCAGACGCCUACUGGAGGAAGCAGUGGGGAAUAUUGCACAAUGGGCGGAAGCCGGAUGCAGGAACGCCGCGUGCGGGAUGACGGCCUUCGGGUUGUAAACCGCUUUCGCCUGUGACGAAGCGUGAGUGACGGUAAUGGGUAAAGAAGCACCGGCUAACUACGUG